rnacentral:lncRNA from 1 species
AGGGGAGGCAAGCCAGUAAAGAACAUCCCUCCAUGGCCUCUGCAUCGGCUCCUGCUUUCUGACCUGCUUGAGUUCCAGUCCUGACUUCCUUGGUGAUGAACAGCAAUGUGGAAGUGUAAGCUGAAUAAACCCUUUCCUCCCCAACUUGCUUCUUGGUCAUGAUGUUUAUGCAGGAAUAGAAACCCUGACUAAGACAAAUUGGUACCAGCAGAGUGGGGUAUUCUUGUGACAACCUGACCAUGUUUUGGGGAGGACUGUGGAUGGACUUUGGAACUUUGGGCUUGGAAAGUUUGUUAAGAGCUCUGUCGGAUGUUGUGUAGGAGCUUGGAAGAUAAUGUUGAGAACAGUGCAGAAGAUGGAGGCCUGGCUUGUGAAAUUUCAGAGGGAAAAUUAAAGACUCUUUUCAGGGCCAUUGCUGUUUUGAUUGUGAAGUUUCUGUAGUUCUGGUUAGCUGGGGCUGAAGAAUCAGCUGUGAUUGACAAGAUACCAGAACUACUAAAGCAAAAACUUUGCAUUACUGGGACUAUUGAUGCUGGUUAGCUGGAGCUAAGAAAUUAGCGGUGAUUAAGAAGAGACCAGCAUCAUUGAGGUGACAUCUUCUGGGAAGUGUUUUCUGAGAGCACAGUGGCUUUGUUCCAGAUAUAGUCAAAGUUGUACCUUGUGCUGUGGCUGGACUUGGUAAUGUGUAAGGGUCACCCAGGUGGUACUGGUUUUGAAGGCAUGAAGGAGUUGAGCAGAGCAGCUGAGGCUUGGCACUGUGAGAGGCCAUGGAAGGCCAUUGGUGAAAGUGCAGCCUCAGUUGCAAUUGAUGGCCCAGGACUGAAGGGGUCAUGCCGUGUUUUGGAGAUGCCAGUACCAUGAGAUGACCACCAAGAGCAGCAGCAGCAGCAGUGGAGUACAGGCAUCUGGAGCCUAGAGGAUGACGCGUGUGCUACAAAGGGCAUGGCUGGAGAAGUGACCCAAGGCCUUGGAGGAGCCCAGAAGAUCGUAAGUUGGAUCCCAGACAUUGGACGGUUGGAGAUUGACUUUUGCUUUUGAUUGUGACUGUGCCCUGAUAGUUUCCCUCUUGAAGGAAGAAACUGUUUUAGUGGAGCCCACAGUUAAGAGACUUUUAAUUGUAAAAAGACUUCGGAUUUUAAAAGAGAUGGAUAUUUUAAAGAGAUUGAAAUUUUAAGAAUAUGUAAAGACUGUGGGACUUUUAAAGUUAUUUAGACCUUGGGGAUGAAUAAGAAUGUAAGGGUUGAGGCUUACUAGUGAUGUGUUUGUGUGUCAAGUUGACAAGGGGUCAAUUGUACUGGCUAGUUUUGUGUCAACUUGACACAGCUGGGGUUAUCACAGAGAAAGGAGCUUCAGUUGAGGAAAUGCCUCCAUGAGAUUCAACUCUAAGGCAUUUUCUCAAUUAGUGAUCAAGGGGGAAAGGCCCCUUGUGGGUGGGACCAUCUCUGGGCUGGUAGUCUUGGGUUAUAUAAGAGAGCAGGCUGAGCAAGCCAGGAGAGGCAAGCCAGUAAAGAACAUCCCUCCAUGGCCUCUGCAUCGGCUCCUGCUUUCUGACCUGCUUGAGUUCCAGUCCUGACUUCCUUGGUGAUGAACAGCAGUAUGGAAGUGUAAGCUGAAUAAAUCCUUUCCUCCCCAA